CAGAAAAAAUGGCACCAAAGGUAGCACUAAAAUAUAAUAAAAAUCAUGAUUUGAGAUGUUCCACAAGAUCAAUUCAUGAUAAAUUCCAAAACAUGAGCGGAGACAAGAAAGCAAUUGUUCGAGAAUAUUGGGAUUUGAUGGUUUGAUGCAUAUUUCUGUCAUGAAUGUGCCACAUAAGCCAUUGAACCAGUUGGCAUAUUCAUUUGAUCUGUCCCAUAACAGAUUAGACACACGGUAUAGUAUAAUCAACAUCACCCAAGAAAAUAUAGCAGCUGUCCUUGGUUUGACUAUAGCUGGGCCAUGCUAUCCAGAAAAAAUUAACUUUCAAGAAUUCAGUGAGGUGAAUAAGGAAGUUGUUAGAAACUUUCAAGGCAAGACCUUGUCGCAAUUAUCAACCUCUAUGAUGGAGAUGACUGUCGAUGGAGAGAAAAAUUAGAUGAAAUUCAAGAGGACAUUCACAUUUAGAUGUCCUUCCUGUUACCGACAACAGUAAACAAACUUUUUCCGUUUCACAUGCUGCCCAUUCUUCACAUGGACGCAAUACGUCAACGGAAUUGAGGUGGUCAUGUGCUCAACUUUCUAAUAAAGGGCAUUAAAGAGCACAUAUUGAAAAAUAAAUAUGUUGUUAAUGACUGCCUCUUUACUCUAAUGAUUGUGUAUUUUCACGAAUCAACAUACAAAUAUAGCCCAGUUGAUGAAAUUCCUGGAUCACCGUGGGUCCAACAUUGGACCAAAGAAUUGCUGGUAGAAAGAAUAAAAGCUGAGAUCAAGGAUGAGAUGAUAACU